UCAGCUUAGACUUGCAAAACUUCACUGUAAACUCUAAAAGCUAACUCGCUAGUCUUUAAGAAGUUACAGAAAAUAAUGAAGUAGCAACAAACAAUGCAAUGACGUUACUACACCGGUGGGAGGCAGCAGUGCACUAAACUGUGCCUAGUCUGUCGGAAGGGAAAGAAGCUUGGGUCUGAGCAUGCGCAGUAUCCAGCUCAGUGUGCUCAGGUGUUAUUGUUCAGGAAAAUUGGCGCCGAGUCACUGUAGGAAGCUGCGGGAAGGGGACAUAGCUUGGAUUUUGACCAUUGCGUGAAGUCUCGUGUUGUCUUUUGACUAAUACGAAACUGGAUGUGACACCUCCCAGCUCUACUUGGUGAUGACCCCGGUAACCUCUACAACACCUGCUCUACCACAGCCUUGGAUUCCUGGGGCCUUUCCUCUUCCUCUGUGGAGUAGUUGUUGGAAAUGUCCUUCCAGGACGGCGUCUGCAUGGACCGUGCCGACCGACGCCUCUGUCUCUCCUGCUGAGAACGAACAUACUCCAG